AGUUACAAGGAAAUCUCUUUAAAUAAAAAGGGGGGGGAAAAAGCAGUUCAUUAAUAUUAGGCACUCUGUGUCCUGCCAGAAUGCUUGCUUUUCAUAUCAAGGCUCUGAUUCUUCAGAAGUACUUUUUUGUCCUCUUUUGGAUUGCUGACCAAUUCAGUGGAGAGAACGUGUAAGGAAGCCAAAAUCAUAUUCACUCAUGAAGUAUCUUUGAAACAGAGCUGUCUGGAUUGUCCUAUAUUUGAAAGACUCUUUCAUGGGUACAUGGUGUGUGAUUCAGCCACAAGCAGAAUGAGGUUCCUCUUGUGAAACUGCAGAUUUCUGCAACGUCUUCAUCUGAACUAUCUCUCAGCGCACCCUGCAAUAAUCAAUGCAGAGAAACAAACAACUACACAACUGAAGUGUUUUGGAUAUCCAUGUAAUCAAAGGUGCAGACAGCAGAAUACCCUUUGAAUAGCACCCAGCAGUACAGCAGCCUCCUAAACUGAGUGUGUCCAACAGCCACAAGAUGCCCAUCCUAUCCUUCUCUGUGUCUGGAGACUUACCCAGGCCUCAGCCUGUGGUCCAUGGCUGGUCUCCCUCCAAGAAGUCAGCCAAAGACAACUGCCAGAAGUGACACUGGUGUGGGAAGGUUAAAUCUGUGAGACUGGAAACCAAAACCAAACCCCUGGGCACACAGAAGCACCUUGAAAAUCAAAACAGCUUGAUCAUUGCUGCUGCAAAUCGAAAUAACCACUCAGCUGUCUUGAUGCUGAUGUAACUUUGCGCAAUGAUGACUGAACCAGCAGAACCAACAAGCAGUGAACUUACAGC